GCCUUACACAUGCAAGUCGAACGGCAGCGCGGGCUUCGGCCUGGCGGCGAGUGGCGAACGGGUGAGUAACAUAUCGGAACGUGCCCUGGAGUGGGGGAUAACUAGUCGAAAGACUAGCUAAUACCGCAUACGAUCUAUGGAUGAAAGCGGGGGAUCGCAAGACCUCGUGCUCCUGGAGCGGCCGAUAUCUGAUUAGCUAGUUGGUGGGGUAAAGGCCCACCAAGGCGACGAUCAGUAGCUGGUCUGAGAGGACGACCAGCCACACUGGGACUGAGACACGGCCCAGACUCCUACGGGAGGCAGCAGUGGGGAAUUUUGGACAAUGGGGGCAACCCUGAUCCAGCAAUGCCGCGUGUGUGAAGAAGGCCUUCGGGUUGUAAAGCACUUUUGUCCGGAAAGAAAUCGCCCUGGUUAAUACCUGGGGUGGAUGACGGUACUGGAAGAAUAAGCACCGGCUAACUACGUGCCAGCAGCCGCGGUAAUACGUAGGGUGCGAGCGUUAAUCGGAAUUACUGGGCGUAAAGCGUGCGCAGGCGGUUGUGCAAGACAGAUGUGAAAUCCCCGGGCUUAACCUGGGAAUGGCAUUUGUGACUGCACGGCUAGAGUGUGUCAGAGGGGGGUAGAAUUCCACGUGUAGCAGUGAAAUGCGUAGAUAUGUGGAGGAAUACCGAUGGCGAAGGCAGCCCCCUGGGAUAACACUGACGCUCAUGCACGAAAGCGUGGGGAGCAAACAGGAUUAGAUACCCUGGUAGUCCACGCCCUAAACGAUGUCAACUAGUUGUCGGGUCUUAAUUGACUUGGUAACGCAGCUAACGCGUGAAGUUGACCGCCUGGGGAGUACGGUCGCA
rnacentral:rRNA from 1 species